rnacentral:rRNA from 1 species
GACGAACGCUGGCGGCGCGCUUAACACAUGCAAGUCGAGCGAGAACCAGGACUUCGGUCCUGGGGACAGCGGCGAACGGGUGAGUAACACGUGGAUAACCUGCCCUCGGCACCGGGAUAGCCCGGGGAAACCCGGAUUAAUACCGGAUGGCCCUUCCGGCUCACGAGCCGGUCGGAAAAGGUAGCUUCGGCCUCCGGCCGAGGAUGGGUCCGCGGCGGAUUAGCUUGUUGGUGGGGUAACGGCCUACCAAGGCUCCGAUCCGUAGCUGGUCUGAGAGGACGACAAGCCACACUGGGACUGAGACACGGCCCAGACUCCUACGGGAGGCAGCAGUGGGGAAUCUUGCGCAAUGGGCGAAAGCCUGACGCAGCGACGCCGCGUGAGGGAGGAAGGCCUUCGGGUUGUAAACCUCUUUCAGGAGGGACGAAGCUACUCGGGUGAAUAGCCCAGAGGGUGACGGUACCUCCAGAAGAAGCCCCGGCUAACUACGUGCCAGCCGCCGCAGUAACAC